ACUCACGCCAGAUCAGCAACAAUGAAAAUUAUUGUGUCCUCUCUGCUUCUUGUAGCCAUGAACUCGGUAAUCUCUAACGGCCAAAGUGAUCAUUCUAAAGUAUCGAUAAAAGACCAGGGCUACAUGGAACAUGUGAGCAAGUUGCUUAACAUGUCAGCAAUACUCUUCAUAAAGAGGGCUGUCAAUGGUCCAAUACAGAAUAAUAAACGUAUCUGUUGGACCUCCAAAAGACAAG